rnacentral:rRNA from 1 species
GAUGAACGCUGGCGGCGUGCCUAAUACAUGCAAGUCGAGCGAACGGACGAGAAGCUUGCUUCUCUGAUGUUAGCGGCGGACGGGUGGGUAACACGUGGAUAACCUACCUAUAAGACUGGGAUAACUUCGGGAAACCGGAGCUAAUACCGUAUAAUAUUUUGAACCGCAUGGUUCAAAAGUGAAAGACGGUCUUGCUGUCACUUAUAGAUGGAUCUGCGCUGCAUUAGCUAGUUGGUAAGGUAACGGCUUACCAAGGCAACGAUGCAUAGCCGACCUGAGAGGGUGAUCGGCCACACUGGAACUGAGACACGGUCCAGACUCCUACGGGAGGCAGCAGUAGGGAAUCUUCCGCAAUGGGCGAAAGCCUGACGGAGCAACGCCGCGUGAGUGAUGAAGGUCUUCGGAUCGUAAAACUCUGUUAUUAGGGAAGAACAUAUGUGUAAGUAACUGUGCACAUCUUGACGGUACCUAAUCAGAAAGCCACGGCUAACUACGUG